rnacentral:rRNA from 1 species
AGAAACUCAAAUGAAGUUGACGGGGGCCCGCACAAGCAGCGGAGCAUGUGGUUUUAAUUCGAAGCAACGCGAAGAACCUUACCAAGGACUUGACAUCCCCUGACAGCUGUUGAAAGGCAGUGUCUCUUCGGAGCAGGGAGACAGGUGGUGCAUGGUUGUCGUCAGCUCGUGUCGUGAGAUGUUGGGUUAAGUCCCGCAACGAGCGCAACCUUAUCCUUAGUUACCAGCACGUAAAGGUGGGGACUCUAGGGAGACCGCCGGGGACGACUCGGAGGAAGGUGGGGACGACGUCAAAUCAUCAUGCCCCUUAUGUCUUGGGCUACACACGUGCUACAAUGGCCGCAACAGAGGGAAGCGAGAGCGCAAGCUGGAGCAAAACCCUAAAAGCGGUCCCAGUUCGGAUUGUGGGCUGCAACCCGCCCACAUGAAGUCGGAGUUGCUAGUAAUCGCGAAUCAGCAUGUCGCGGUGAAUGCGUUCCCGGGCCUU